rnacentral:rRNA from 1 species
GAUGAACGCUGGCGGCGUGCCUAAUACAUGCAAGUCGAACGCGCAGCGAAAGGUGCUUGCACCUUUCAAGCGAGUGGCGAACGGGUGAGUAACACGUGGAUAACCUGCCUCAAGGCUGGGGAUAACAUUUGGAAACAGAUGCUAAUACCGAAUAAAACUUAGUAUCGCAUGAUACAAAGUUAAAAGGCGCUACGGCGUCACCUAGAGAUGGAUCCGCGGUGCAUUAGUUAGUUGGUGGGGUAAAGGCUUACCAAGACGAUGAUGCAUAGCCGAGUUGAGGGUCGGAUCGGCCACAUUGGGACUGGGACACGGCCCAAACUCCUACGGGAGGCUGCAGUAGGGAAUCUUCCACAAUGGGCGCAAGCCUGAUGGAGCAACGCCGCGUGUGUGAUGAAGGCUUUCGGGUCGUAAAGCACUGUUGUAUGGGAAGAAAUGCUAAAAUAGGGAAUGAUUUUAGUUUGACGGUACCGUACCAGAAAGGGACGGCUAAAUACGUGCCAGCAGCCGCCGUAA